CCCUUAGAUGUUCUGGGCUGCACGCGCGCUACACUGAUGAAUUCAACGAGUUUAGAACCUUGACCGAAAGGCCUGGGUAAACUUUUAAAUCUUCAUCGUGACGGGGAUAGAUUAUUGCAAUUUUUAAUCUUGAACGAGGAAUUCCUAGUAAACGUGAGUCAUCAGCUCACGUUGAUUACGUCCCUGCCCUUUGUACACACCGCCCGUCGCUCCUACCGAUUGAAUGAUCCGGUGAAAUCUUUGGAGUCCAGCUUGGCUUUAGCCUUGCAGUGGCGAAAUUGCUUAAACCUUAUCAUUUAGAGGAAGGAGAAGUCGUAACA
rnacentral:rRNA from 1 species